CAGACUUAUAGAUAUGAAGCUGAGGCAGAUUGGAAAGAGACAGAUGAACCCAUCCCUAAGUAGCACUGCUGCUUUUAAAAAGGUAAGUUCUUCAAUCAAUGUAUAGCGGGGCUCUGCAUAUUCCUUCAUAUAAGACCUGAAUCAGCCCAAAUUCAGCCAUUCACAUUCUCAAGGCAUUUCCAAAAGUUUUUUCUCUGGGUAGAACCAGGCUUUUCUAUGUACAUUGAAAAGCCAUAGCAGAAGCUGAACAGAAACUUUUUUUGCUUUGAAGUUGAAAGAUGAGCCAUUGCCUUGUUGCCUACGGUAACAUGGCAAGCAAAUUAAUCAGGGAACCAUUGGGGAUAUUGUAAAAUCUUUCAGGUGGAGGGGUUCCUGAUCCCAAGUGCCAAUUCACAUUGGCAGCAUAUGUGAGCACGAUGACCCAUUUUUAGCAGCCAUGCCUGAGCAGCAUAGCAUGAGGAAAUGGUACCUAUUACCAGUGUUUGCUUUACCUGAGAUUGCUUUUCUGCACAUGCCAUGGGAACAACCCAUGAGGAAGAUUUUAGAGCAUCUGAAAAAGCCCUCGGUUCCCUUAGGAAAAUGUGGGCCAAAUUAAAUCCUUGAACAUCCCUAGUACUAUAGUCAAGAGGACUACUCAAACUCCAGCAAACUCCUAGUAAAAUCAGGGGCUAUGUGUCAUUACACGUCCAGGAAGGUAAACAACUAUAAUUCAUUGUUUCAGAUGACAAGAUAAAUAAAUGGCAAAUGAAAGCAAUGUUUAAACAUGUAAUAAGCUGCUUGAAGAAAAACAUUCUGAAAACGUUCUCCAUUCAGACUUGUUUGAAGAAAGAUCCAGCGGUGCAAAAAGUAAUUCAUAAACAGCUGAAAAGAAAGAGACUGGAAAAGAUGCUGUUUGCAGGCGCUUGGUCCAGAUAGACACAAACUCACCUGCUCACUCCAUUGCCCUGAACACUGACGGCGUCAUUCCUGAAAGCUCAGGACGUUGUCAAUCUUCAUAAUAAAAUCUGAGGGCUGAAAGCUGUUUCUAAAGGAAUAGUCCAUGACUUCAAAGUGUCACUGAUUUUGCCCUCUGUGACACAGCAGCAGAGUUGCUGGAGAUGAAAAGGCACCUUUGUUCAGCCCUCUGUUUGCUUAAGACAGUUCAGAAAUGGCAGAGCUCUUCAAUGAUAGUUUUAAAUUACUCACCUAUCAGUUCUCCCUCUGUCUCCCCAACCCCCCGCCUGCCACAAAAAAAAAAAAAACCCAUCACAGCAAUGCUGAAACCUGUGGACUUUCCAUCUAAACAAAGAUUGCUCUAAUUCUCUUUAAUGUUGCUGUCUACCCCACUGUACCUGGAAGCAUGCAUUCUCACUGUAUUUUGCUCUGUAUUUUGCACUGUAUUGUUUCUCUUUCAGGAGCUUCCAUGUGAUCACAAUGGGGGGCUUACAGGGUCGAAUGGUUGGCUUGGAACCCAGUGAAGAUCACAUGCAUGGGCUGACAGUGUGAUCUAGUGCUUCCCCAUUGGGUCACACAUAUGGCUUUGAUUUGCUCAUGGAAGCUUCACACACAGAGACACAACACGCUUCUGUGAUUGCAAAAAUUACCAUAUUUUUUGCUCUAUAAGACUCACUUUUUCCCUCCUAAAAAGUAAGGGGAAAUGUGUGUGCGUCUUAUGGAGUGAAUGCAGGCUGCGCAGCUAUCCCAGAAGCCAGAAGAGCAAGAGGGAUUGCUGCUUUCACUGCGCAGCAAUCCCUCUUGCUGUUCUGGCUUCUGAGAUUCAGAAUAUUUUUUUCUUGUUUUCCUCCUCCAAAAAUUAGGUGCGUCUUGUGGUCUGGUGCGUCUUAUAGAGUGAAAAUACGGUAUGUUGCAAAGUAACUCAUUUGGCUUUGGGUACUUGGCACCUUGAUCUGAGGGAGUAGGAAACACUAUUUGUUGCUCUGCUUCAGGCAAGUUUACCUGCUAAAUUUCUGUGAAGCCAACAGGGCCAACGCUUGAUUUUAAAUUUUCUCACACAAUACCAACAUUCAAAGGGAUAGGGAAAAAAGGUUGACUUUCAGUCUGCUUGUAGACAGUUCACAUUUCCUGAAAACAUACUCAGAAGCUUCUUCCUUACUUGAGACACUCCAAAAGGGAGUCGGGAAGGAGAUAAACAUAUCCCCAAGUCUCCUUUCCCCUCCAUGAUUAUUUCAUGUCUUAGCAGCCUCCCUACCCCCAAAAUCGGACUGAUUAGAUUGUUUUCAAAAAGAUUUUGUGUUGAAUGAUCAAAAAUGCCUCCCCUGCCAGAUUUGCUGGAGCCACGGAGAGCGUGCUUGCAUGAAUUCAUCAAGAAAGAUGAAUAUGCAUUCAGGUCAAAACAUUCCUUGAUCAUCUUUGCUCCUUUGACCUUUCCCGACAUGUGCUCACAAAAGUGGCUUGAGGGGAAAGAGAAAACAAACUCGAGUGUUUCUGCAGAGAAUUAGAAGGAAUUCCCCUGAAUAUGAAUAUCUGGAGCCAUGAUUACUCCCCUUCUUUCCCCAGCUUUUCAUUUCAUCCUGUUCACAUGGUCAGGAAGGCUGGGUAAUCAAGCAAUAAUCAACUAACCCCUAGGUUAUUCCACUGUUAUACAAAAGGGCCAUUCAGUGUGGAAGUAGCAAAUGAAAAGAGUCUGCUGAUAUAUUACAGGGAGCUAGCGCGGAAGUAUGAAGAACGACUGAAGCAGUCUGCGCUUAAAUUUAACAUCCCUAUUUGCAAACUUCCAGACAGUGAGUUCCAGUGAGUUCCAGCUGAAAAAAAGCCCUGCUUCCAUAGCUAUUGCAAAACUUCAAGGGGCGGGGGAGAGAGUGGUCAAGUUCACAUCUCUGUGGGAGUGUUGUUGUGGGAUAAUUACCCAAUGUAGAAUUUUGUUAUACGACUUCAAAACAGUGCAUUCAGGCCAAAAGAAGAGCCAACAAUCAGGGCUGGCCCACCCAUGAGGCAAAGUGAGAUGACUGCCUCAGGUGGCAAGAUCAAAGGGACAGCUGAUCCAGACUUCAAGGAAUGCAUUGCCUGCUGGCUUGGGGGCUGGAUCUGCUGCACUCUACAAUUCUAUGAUUCUAACUCUGAAGAAGGCAAAUGUUCUGCAGGUGCUGCUUCCGACAUCAUAUGGUUGCAGUUAUGGAGGUGACCACUCUUUUUAGAAUGUCUAUAUGUGAUGGAAGAUGGGGCACAAUUAGCGGCAGGGUGUUGCAGGUGGGACUCAGGCCUCGAACCAAAACGUUGUAUGUUUCAGGCACUUGUAUGGCACCCUAAAUGGCAGGGUCGGGUGUGUGGAGGUGGUAGCACCCUGGACAGUUCCACUGAACAAGUCUCUGGAGCAGGGGAUUAGGAACCUCUGGCCCUGGAGGGGUGGUUGGACUCUAACCCCCAUCAAUCCAGCUUGCAGGAUCAGUAGUUAGGGACAGUGUUUCUCAACCUUGGGUCCCCAGCUGCUGUUAUACUACAAGUCCCAUCAUCCCUAGCUAGCAGGGCCAGUGGUCAGGGAUGAUGGGAGCUGUAGUCCAACAACAUCUGGAGGAUCACAAAUUCCCCACCCCUGCUUUAAAAGCUGAGUCACCAGGGAUACAGGUAGUAAAAACAUUGUAUGAUUUGAAUGUAAUGGAGGCAAAUGAUUUCCUGCCACAAAGAAUGCCAAAAUAUAAAAGCAGAGAGAGAGAGAGAGAGAGAGAGAGAGACAGAGAGAUUAAAGGCAUGUAAAAAAAGAGAGCAACUUCCUUUGAUGUAGGGAUUAAUUAUAUGAAUUUGGAAUGCUUUUUUUUUAAAAUGGGAGCUUUAUAGGAAGCAUUCUACCUAUGUCAUAGGAAAUUAAACGUUUUCUCAAAAGGAUUCCAGUUUUACAAUGUCAAUGGCAGCAUUUUUAGAGCACAUCUGGGCUGCCAAAGCUUUUCACAUACAUUAUCUCGGUUACCUUCACAAAGCUUCGUGAAAUAUGUCAGUGUUCUUUGGCCUAUAUUGCAGGCAGUAGUUGCAACUGAGGACAUUAUAGCUACUCCUUAUUUAUUUAUCUUGUUUUAUCUGUUUGCUACUUAGUUCAUUAUAUAUCGCCUUUCCUCCUAGAGAAAGAAGCAAAUGACAAGCAAGGAAACAAUGAAAACAUUUAAAAAGCAAUUCCAAUAAGGAUGCAGACUGGGAAAUAUCUUUAAAAGGCUUGUUGAAAGAGGAAGGUCUUAAGUAGGUGCUGAAAAGACAACAGAGGCAGCACAUGUCUAAUAUUCUAGGGGAAAGGAUUUCAAAGGCUAGGUGCCACAACACUAAAGGCUCAAUUCCUGUGUUGUGUGGAAAGGACCUCCUGAUAAAGAUGGCAUCUGCAGGAGGUACUUACCUGCAGAGCACAGAGAUUGAUGGGGUAAACAAGGGAUGAGAUGAUCUUUCAGGUAUCCUACUGCCAAGCUGUAUAUGGCUUCAUAUACCCAAACCAGCACCUUGAACUUAGCCCAGUAGCUGGUUGGCAGCCGGGGGUGUUAUAAGCAAGUAAACAACCCAAGGUGAGAUGAAAUCCAAGCUUUAGUACAUAUGUUUUGUUGCCCCUUCAUACAUCUGAAUCCAUCGUGGAAGAGAAUUGCCUUAACAGCCAUGAGUACACAGCUAUCCUUACAGAAGGCAAGGUGAAUGAAUUAGUAUAAAUAUCUAAACAUGAGCAAUAGUGUGUUCUAAGCACAUUGAAAUAGCACCAGUCAAAAGAAAUCCAGAGAGAAUUAUCCGUUUCCCCAGGCCCUGCCUACGAACGAAGGCCGGGCAAGGGAGGAGCAGGGAGAGAGACAUUUCAUAUUGUAGGUGCCAGAUGAUGUAGGUAAAUUAGUCUGGAGAACAAUAUACUUCAAUUUCAGACAAAGACAGGAACCAUCUGGUAAGCAUUUCUUUCAGUGCCUUUCUGUACUCUGGGGAUAUGCAAUUUGAAUGCAUUUGAUAGAGAGCGGCCUGAAAAUUUCUAAUAAAAGGCGAGAUUCUUUUAUGUCAAGUAAGGCAAAGACAUCUACAGCACCAUCGUAUGUAGGGAGUCUGAAUAAAUUUGUUGCUGCAGCCAGACAUGUGGAAAAGUAGCUGCUCUUGUAUGCAUUACAAGGUGCUUGUUCCAAUUUAAUUGCGGUGAUUUUGCGCUUGUAUUGACACUCUUCUUUUCAGGUCUAAUCUGACUGUGUUGGGAGUGGGUCACAAACCUCCUACGAUUAGAUUUUGAAUUCCUUUCUUCUGCUCCGCAAAGAAUUGUGGCACUCACUGCCAUCCUUUUGCUGUUUCUCACCCUCUUGAUCCCACUUGCGUUACAACUGACUGAUCUACCAAUUUACUAGAUGACUUCAUGCAUCUGAAAAGGUGGGCUCUAGCCCCCCAAAAGCUUAGCCCAUGACUUUGACACUGUACAACCCUAUGCACCUUUACAAUGGAGUGGGCCACACUGAAUUUAAAUGGGAUUUCCAUCUGAAUAAACAGGCAUAGGCCUGGGCUGCAUGAGUGAGCCGCGAAUCAGGAAACGUGCCAUUUAAACCUCACCUUGAUCCUAAUUCAGUAGCUGGCUUUCGUCAAGACAUUUGAAAAAUGUCAGUAAUAUUGGCAUACCUUGCAGCCGAUAUUACAGGGCUGUGGUAAAGAAUAGGUAUGAGAUGACUGAACUGUGCUUUACAAGGAAUAUUAAAUAUGGUUGCUGCAGAUAAUUAUUACAGUUAUAGUACAGUUUCCAAUAUUGGGUCUGUGUCCCCACCAUAGGAAGGUUUGCAAAUAGCGAUUAUGUGAAAAAUUGAAUUUAGGCUGCAAGCUAAUACCCACUUUCCAGUGGAAUAAGUCCCACUGAGCCCAAUGGGGCUUUGUUCUGGGUAGAUAUGUACAGAAUUUAAGCAUUUUAUCUCACUCUGUAGGCAAAAAGCCCCCCUGCCUUAUAGCAGUUCACAAAGAUAAUAUAGGUCCUAGUUUCAGGAUUAGAGUCUAAAAGGCAAGACACACAAGGAAAAGAGCGGUGGGGAGGGAGGAGGCAAAAAGCAAGCUUGGGAAUCAGUUCUUAAAAGGAGCAUUUGUCCGGAUUGAUCUGUGGGGCAGAUAUACGGCAAUGAACAUUCAUCCACAUUUGCUUGCAAGCAUGUGUCUGCAUCUCCCAGUUAAGUCAUUCAUUCAUCUCACACUUCUCCAUGCAUUUCCUCCUCACUUUCCAAACUGCAAAAAGGCGGAAUCUUUUUCAGUGGAUUUCUUGCACUGGAACAACAGAGCCCUUUAAUUAGGGUUGCCAUAUUUCAAGAAGUGAAAAUCCGGACACAAAAGUUGUUGAGGGGGAGCAAAGUAGGGUUUGUGUGUGUGUGUGUGUGUGUUUGUUUGCUAACUCUCCUAAUAAUAAUAUUGAAGUUUUAAAGCUAUUCCCCCAUAUUUUUACAGAAAUUUGCCAAAAAUUCAACACUUCUGAUAUGGGCUGCCAUACACCUGGAAGGACAAAUCCCAGCUCUGUCUGGAAAAUUGGCAGCCAGCCCUACUUUAAUCCACUUGAACAGUGCAAAAUGGUCCAAGCCUGCGCUUGAAUUCAUCCUGCAGAACAGUGUCCAUCUCCAGGAACCUGCAGUUCUGUUUUCCCCAUGCCCAGGCCCAAAAGUUCUAUUCACUGAUCACUGGACUGCAGUGGCUUCUUCAGCAAUGAUGAAAACAGCAAACUGGC